CUUCCAGCGCCGUCAACUCCCCAACCUCGCCGUUCGCGGUGACCGGACCAGCAGCGCCGCCGUCCGGAGGUAGCACCCUGCUGACCUGGUGUAGCACCCCACAGGCGAGGGAGGCCACGAGAGCAUCCGCGCCGGCACCACAGCGUGCGGGCGUGCCUGUGAAAGGCCGAGCCACGGCGUGCGGGCUGAAGGCAGGCGCCGAGCGAGCCAAAAGCAGGAGAGGCACAUGAGCUCCGCGCGCGGUCCUGGUCGCCGGCGAGGACCACCAAGGCGGGGCGACGGUCAAUCUCAGCGACCGCCGCGGACUGCGGUAGGGGCGCGGGCGGGGAAGCUUGCCGCGGUGCAGAAUGUCGGCGGGGAGGCGCGGAGUACGAGCUGCUGGUCGAUCCCCUCCCCGAGGUGCUGCCUCCGGCGUCGUCUUCACCGCCCACGAUCCCGAUCUGCUGCCAACAACCAUAAAUACGAGCAGCUGCUGCUGCUGCCGACCGUCGAGGAUGCAGUAACGGAGAAGUGGAGCUGUAGCUGGCCAGGAGGGAGCCAUGGCUGCUGGAACUGGCGUGGCCCAACCGUUCUUGCAUUCAGAAAGGAUCUGUUGGAUCAAUCGUGACCUGCCCGUUCUCGCAUUCAGAAGCUAGGGAUCCAUGUCUCCCGGAUCCGGCAUAACUCUAGGGUAGUAGUGAAGUGGAGCUGUAGCUGGCAAGGAGGGAGCGAUCGCCGCUGGAUCUGGCAUGACCUGACCCUUCUCGCAUUCAGAUCCAUGUCUGCCUUAUCUGGCGUGACCCAGACGUUCUCGCAUUUAGAAGGGAUCCAUGUCUCACGCAUCCGGCAUAACCCUAGGUGGGAAGUGGAGCUGGAGCUGGCAAGCAGGGGUCCAGAUGGCUGGUGGAUCUGGCCAAUUUGACUCCAACGUUGCUGCUGGGAUGAAAAAUUACGGCGGCAACUGUGGGAGAGAUUCUUCGUUUUGUGGCUGUACUUUGCUCGGGCCGUCGGCGAGCGGAAUACCUACCAUUCAUGGUUGUUCUGCCUGGAGGUGUUGUGUGGUGUCGCAGCUGGGGAAGGGAGGGUCCUGCACCGAGGAGGAUGUCACUGGCCGGCUGCUUGCUUUGGUGUGUGCCUGGGGACCUUGGCAUGGCCAGGAGGCGCUGCUACGGUGGUGGCGGCGGCUGCCCGUGUGUCAUACAUACUGUUUGGGAGGAUAACUGGGAGGCCUAAACAACGGCAGCGGUGGCAUUCGUCUUCGACUCCUUGUGUGUUCAGGGAAGUUUCUGGUUCCUGCGUGUGAUUUCUUUGUGUAGUUGAUCAUGUAGUAUCUCUACAUGGAAUUUGCUAGCCUGGAGUUGUCCAAGCAGUAUCAUGGCUGUUAUUUGUCAGUGUUAUUCGUGUUCCAAGUUGGCAGACUUGGUUCACUGCCAUUUAUUGUAUCUGCUGUACGCCAUUUUCAAAAAAUGCCAUGUUAUUGUAUUUUUUAGGACCAACUCCGUCCCAUAAUAAGUGACUCCAUUAUGUGUAGAUAUGUAUGCAUAUAGACACAUUUUAGUUGUAGAUACAUCCGUAGUAGUGUCCUUGCUGCACAUCAGAAUGGCCUGACGCCAAUUUGUUUGUUUUGCCAUGUAAAUACUUGUUCAGUAGUAGUGCCCUUGCCACAGACGGAUAGACUUGGUUGAUUGAUUGCCGUUUGUGAUGUGCAGCCCCCCUUACUCGUGCUUGUGUGCGUUGUCGCGGCAGGGAAGGGGAGGGGAGUAUCCUGCGCCAAGCCAAGGAGGAGGUCGACCUUGGCAUGGUUCUGGCCGCGCUGCAACCUGCGACGGGCGGCGGCCACCUGUGUGUUGUACAUACUGUUUGGGAGGAUGGAACCUUGUAGUGUUUGAGUGGUCUGAAGAUUGGAACGGACACAGCUUGUUGUAAUUAAUUAUUAUAAUGGUU